AGUGAACGCUGGCGGUAGGCCUAAUACAUGCAAGUCGAACGGCAGCACAGUAAGAGCUUGCUCUUACGGGUGGCGAGUGGCGGACGGGUGAGGAAUACAUCGGAAUCUACCUUUUCGUGGGGGAUAACGUAGGGAAACUUACGCUAAUACCGCAUACGACCUACGGGUGAAAGCAGGGGAUCUUCGGACCUUGCGCGAUUGAAUGAGCCGAUGUCGGAUUAGCUAGUUGGCGGGGUAAAGGCCCACCAAGGCGACGAUCCGUAGCUGGUCUGAGAGGAUGAUCAGCCACACUGGAACUGAGACACGGUCCAGACUCCUACGGGAGGCAGCAGUGGGGAAUAUUGGACAAUGGGCGCAAGCCUGAUCCAGCCAUACCGCGUGGGUGAAGAAGGCCUUCGGGUUGUAAAGCCCUUUUGUUGGGAAAGAAAAGCAGCAGGUUAAUACCCCGCUGUUCUGACGGUACCCAAAGAAUAAGCACCGGCUAACUUCGUG
rnacentral:rRNA from 1 species